CCUACGGGAGGCAGCAGUGAGGAAUAUUGGUCAAUGGGCGUAAGCCUGAACCAGCCAAGUCGCGUGAGGGAUGAAGGUUCUAUGGAUCGUAAACCUCUUUUAUAAGGGAAUAAAGUGUGGGACGUGUCCUGUUUUGUAAGUACCUUAUGAAUAAGGAUCGGCUAACUCCGUGCCAGCAGCCGCGGUAAUACGGAGGAUCCGAGCGUUAUCCGGAUUUAUUGGGUUUAAAGGGUGCGUAGGCGGCCUGUUAAGUCAGCGGUGAAAGUCUGUGGCUCAACCAUAGAAUUGCCGUUGAAACUGGGAGGCUUGAGUAUGUUUGAGGCAGGCGGAAUGCGUGGUGUAGCGGUGAAAUGCUUAGAUAUCACGCAGAACCCCGAUUGCGAAGGCAGCCUGCCAAGCCAUGACUGACGCUGAUGCACGAAAGCGUGGGGAUCAGACAGGAUUAGAUACCCGAGUAGUC
rnacentral:rRNA from 1 species